GAUGAACGCUGGCGGCAUGCCUUACACAUGCAAGUCGAACGGCAGCACGGGAGCAAUCCUGGUGGCGAGUGGCGAACGGGUGAGUAAUGUAUCGGAACGUGCCCAGUCGUGGGGGAUAACGUAGCGAAAGCUACGCUAAUACCGCAUACGAUCUAUGGAUGAAAGCGGGGGACCGUAAGGCCUCGCGCGAUUGGAGCGGCCGAUAUCAGAUUAGGUAGUUGGUGGGGUAAAGGCCUACCAAGCCGACGAUCUGUAGCUGGUCUGAGAGGACGACCAGACACACUGGGACUGAGACACGGCCCAGACUCCUACGGGAGGCAGCAGUGGGGAAUUUUGGACAAUGGGCGCAAGCCUGAUCCAGCAAUGCCGCGUGCAGGAUGAAGGCCUUCGGGUUGUAAACUGCUUUUGUACGGAGCGAAAAGGCUCCCUCUAAUACAGGGGGCUCAUGACGGUACCGUAAGAAUAAGCACCGGCUAACUACGUGCCAGCCGCCGCAGUAAGAC
rnacentral:rRNA from 1 species